GAUGAACGCUGGCGGCGUGCCUAAUACAUGCAAGUCGAGCGAAUGGAUUAAGAGCUUGCUCUUAUGAAGUUAGCGGCGGACGGGUGAGUAACACGUGGGUAACCUGCCCAUAAGACUGGGAUAACUCCGGGAAACCGGGGCUAAUACCGGAUAACAUUUUGAACCGCAUGGUUCGAAAUUGAAAGGCGGCUUCGGCUGUCACCCAUGGAUCGACCCGCGUCGCAUUAGCCAGUUGGUGAGGAAACGGCCCACCAAGGCAACGAUGCGUAGCCGACCUGAGAGGGCGAUCGGCCACACUGGGACUGAGACACGGCCCAGACUCCUACGGGAGGCAGCAGUAGGGAAUCUUCCGCAAUGGACGAAAGUCUGACGGAGCAACGCCGCGUGAGUGAUGAAGGCUUUCGGGUCGUAAAACUCUGUUGUUAGGGAAGAACAAGUGCUAGUUGAAUAAGCUGGCACCUUGACGGUACCUAACCAGAAAGCCACGGCUAACUACGUGCCAGCCGCCGCGGUAA
rnacentral:rRNA from 1 species